UCCAGACUCCUACGGGAGGCAGCAGUGGGGAAUAUUGGACAAUGGGGGGAACCCUGAUCCAGCGACGCCGCGUGAGUGAAGAAGUAUUUCGGUAUGUAAAGCUCUAUCAGCAGGGAAGAAAGAAAUGACGGUACCUGUCGAAUAAGCCACGGCUAACUACGUGCCAGCAGCCGCGGUAAUACGUAGGUGGCAAGCGUUGUCCGGAUUUACUGGGUGUAAAGGGCGUGUAGCCGGGCUGACAAGUCAGAUGUGAAAUCCGGGGGCUCAACCCCCGAACUGCAUUUGAAACUGUUGGUCUUGAGUAUCGGAGAGGCAGGCGGAAUUCCUUGUGUAGCGGUGAAAUGCGUAGAUAUAAGGAGGAACACCAGUGGCGAAGGCGGAUGACUGGACGGCAACUGACGGUGAGGCGCGAAAGCGUGGGGAGCAAACAGGAUUAGAUACCCGAGUAGU
rnacentral:rRNA from 1 species